GCCGCCCUCUGCGCCUCGGGAUCGCGCAGCAGGCUCCGUGCAUCCGCGCGGCUCUGUCCACCCGGCUGUCCCGCGCCAUCGAUCUGCACGUGCCGGGCCGCAGCCCUGUGGGCGCUCGGCGCUGCGCACCCUCCUCCGCGCGGGCGCGGGCCCCCCGGGUCCCCUCCGGCCGCCCAUCCCGCCUGGGCCUCUGGCUGGACUCGCUUUGCAGAAGCGACCGGAGAAAUGCCCGGGCCGGCCCAGCUGGCAUUUGCAGAUGGAAGGAAUGAUGGAAGCCUUGAGGACUGGUGGCCACUAGUUCAUUAACGCCUCGAUCCAGCAGCCCCUCCGGAGCCAGAUCCCAGCCCAGCUGCAGCCCCCGUCACAGCUG